rnacentral:rRNA from 1 species
GUGUCAGCAGCCGCGGUAAUACAGAGGGUGCAAGCGUUGUUCGGAAUUACUGGGCGUAAAGCGCGCGCAGGCGGAUCCUGUAAGUCUGGAGUGAAAUCUCACCGCUCAACGGUGAGGCUGCUGUGGAUACUGCGGAUCUGGAGACCGGUAGAGGCUGGUGGAAUUGCAGGUGUAGCGGUGGAAUGCGUAGAGAUCUGCAAGAACACCCGUGGCGAAGGCGGCCAGCUGGGCCGGUUCUGACGCUGAGGCGCGAAAGCGUGGGGAGCAAACAGGAUUAGAAACCCCUGUAGUCC